rnacentral:rRNA from 1 species
UACGUAGGGGGCGAGCGUUGUCCGGAUUUAUUGGGCGUAAAGCGCUCGCAGGUGGUUCGAUGCGUCGUGCGUGAAAGACCCCGGCUCAACUGGGGAGGGUCGUGCGAUACGGUCGAACUGGAGGGCAGUAGGGGGAUGCGGAAUUCCGGGUGUAGUGGUGGAAUGCGUAGAGAUCCGGAGGAACACCAGCGGCGAAGGCGGCAUCCUGGACUGGUCCUGACACUCAGGAGCGAAAGCGUGGGGAGCGAUCCGG